UACGAAGGGGGCUAGCGUUGUUCGGAAUUACUGGGCGUAAAGGGCGCGUAGGCGGCGUGUCAAGUCAGGCGUGAAAGCCCCGGGCUCAACCUGGGAACCGCGCUUGAGACUGGCAUGCUCGAGUUCGGGAGAGGAUGGUGGAAUUCCCAGUGUAGAGGUGAAAUUCGUAGAUAUUGGGAAGAACACCGAUGGCGAAGGCAGCCAUCUGGACCGACACUGACGCUGAGGCGCGAAAGCCAGGGGAGCAAACAGGG
rnacentral:rRNA from 1 species